GACGAACGCUGGCGGCGUGCUUAACACAUGCAAGUCGAACGAUGAAGCCGGAGCUUGCUCCGGUGGAUUAGUGGCGAACGGGUGAGUAACACGUGAGCAAUCUGCCCUUGACUCUGGGAUAACUGCGGGAAACUGUAGCUAAUACCGGAUACUUUCACCGGGGGGCAUCCUCUGGUGAUGAAAGAAUUUCGGUCAAGGAUGAGCUCGCGGCCUAUCAGCUUGUUGGUGAGGUAACGGUUCACCAAGGCGACGACGGGUAACCGGGCUGAGAGGGUGACCGGUCACACUGGGACUGAGACACGGCCCAGACUCCUACGGGAGGCAGCAGUGGGGAAUAUUGCACAAUGGGCGCAAGCCUGAUGCAGCAACGCCGCGUGAGGGAUGAAGGCCUUCGGGUUGUAAACCUCUUUUAGCAGGGAAGAAGCGAAAGUGACGGUACCUGCAGAAAAAGCACCGGCUAACUACGUGCCAGCCGCCGCGGUAA
rnacentral:rRNA from 1 species